UUAAGUUGAGUUGAGUUGAGUUGUAAAGUGUUCAACAACAGAAAGGCUGGUGGUUAUUGCCACUUUAGCUGCAUCAAGGUUUUGCCAAGUGAGUUAAUCUCUUGACCUCAAGAUAGCCAACUAACAUCCUGAUAAGGCUCAAGGAAUCCUUUAUAUCGUCAUACAUAUCUGAAAUUACCAACCUUGAAUAUAAAAGAAAAAUAUUAGUGGCUG
rnacentral:misc_RNA from 1 species